UCCCUUCCUCUUCCUCCCCCUCUCGAUCUCUCUUUCCCUCGUUUUCUUCAACGUGUUGUUCCUUCUUCGAUCUCUCUCCAACAAUCGAAUGAAAUUGAAGAAAGAAGAGAAAAUCGAAGGGAGAAGAAAAUUUGGAAGCCAGGCAGGGGAAAGCAACAUUCUGCCACUACUUUUCAAAGAUUUUGCACACCAAUUUUUCUGGAGGUGUGUUUUGCACAGUUUGCUUGCUGCCUCAUGAAGAGGCUUGUUUAAUCUAAUGUAACUAUUUAAGUACUUCUCAUGGCAAGGUGUAGAUUAUUUGAACUAUGAUAACUGUUACCAUGAUGGAUCAAAGCCUCAAUACAGGUAACAUUUUUCUCAGAAAAUGAGUUCCUGCUGCACAUGUUUCAAGUACGGCCAAAACAGGAAGUCAAACAAGUGAAGUUCAUUGGGAUAUCAAAAACAUUUUUAAUCCAUUUUUAAAGAAAUGGGUUUGACUAAAUUGUUUCAUUUCAAUCAGCAAUUGUCAUGUUGCCAUUCAUAUCCAUCAUUGUUGUCAUUAACAAUCCACCUGCAAUGUAAAUAAAAAUUAGUUCAUCUCAUUUUAGUUAAGAGUAUUUAUGUUUCAGUGAUCUUGGUUUAUAUAAAUUAUGGGUUAUCAAGAUUACUUUUAAUCAUUACCAAAGUCUCUAAAUAAAGUAUUUUAAGUCAUUUUAAGUGGCAACCAAACAGGGCCUAGGAUUUGAUUUCACAGUCUAAUAUUUAUUUACCUCUAGUAAUUCCUUGCGACCUUUUUAAAAUUUAAUGUUAUCCAUGUCAUUGAUAUAAGAAUGUGAACCUUUCAUCCAUGACUCAAGUUUUUCCCAAGACAAGGUGUGGUUGUGAAAGGGUCCAGGGAAAUUGUUUUUCAUGAUUGGUUGAAAGGUCAAUUGACAUCUCGUCCCAUUUUGCUUUGUUGGAUACCACACAUAGUGAAGGUAAAGUGUCUGUUUACUUGUUAGUAAACAUAAAGCAUCUCUCCAAUUACUGUGGCAAAUGGCUGCAUUAUUUGAGUAGCUGUUGUUGGCAUUAACAAGUCUGGAAGGGCUUUUGCAAACUCAUCAUCUCUUUCCUUGAGGUGGGAAUUGAGUGGUUGUGAGAAGCUGGCAUAUUGGAAAGAGAGUGACAGUUCGGAAAGGUCUGAGUCCUCUUGGGAGAGGUUUUUGGUUUUGCAAAAUGCAACAGGACUGGUAACAACAAAUUAAUCCUUUUGAUGUCCAUCUUUAAUCAUUUGAUUUUUGAUAUGAUUUUUUUUUUGUUUUAAUGAAUGCAGUAGUUGGCUUCAUUUGUAGUAUUGUUACAAAGGUUUAGCCUCACAAGGAUAUUUACUGUGUUCAGGAACCUAUAAUGAUGUUGUUGCCCUGUUCUCAAAUUGUUUCACCUGGACCUGUGUAAAGCAUUUCUCUGACCUGUAUGGAAAAACACCUGCGAUUUCUCAACUACUGUUUUAAACUGAUUUUUGGUGUAGCUGAUUGGAAAUUCAAAAGAUUUUAUUUUUGGGAUUUUUUUAUUUUUUAUUUUUUUUAAAGUUUGAAUACUGUUUCUGUGAUGGGUUUGGCUGAAUUCGUAUGUUGUUGGAUUUUUAGUAAUGAAGUCUGAUUGAGUUUACUUUGAUUCUCUUUUUUCCAAUUCGGUUUUGAAAAUUUGAAUGUUAGAGAAGUGCUACUGUGAUUUGUCUGGAUGUAUUUAAGUGACUAUUUUGUGUGUUCUCUACACCAUAAUGAGUCUUUUAGUUUACCUUUGCUAAUCUACUGCUCUGCUUUUCUGGGCGAGGCAGACUCCUAUGAUAGCUCACUACCAUUUUGAAAAUGGUGGUGUCUCUACAUCCUCAAAUGUGGCACUCAUGUACGUCUAUACUAUCCAGAUCAUCAGGACUGUGGGCACACUUUGGAUGGAGCAUAUCACUAACGCCACACUGAUCAAGCAACCCUACUUGUCCAAUUGAGGGCGAAAUGAGAUGGUUUCUAUCAUAUUUUCAGUGUAGUUUUUAGGAUUAUGCUCCACCAGCAAUUCUGGAUUGCCAUAUGGCUGUGCCAUGUGCAAUGUUGAAGUGUCACCACUCACCACCAUUUUAAGUGGUGAACUAUAUGAAUCUACCCUUCUAGGUGGUGAUGCAUGAUGCAUCUUUUUGGGUUUCAUUGGUGCUAAUGGUUUAGCAAAUCCACAUCUUAGUCUCAUCCACUUAUAGAUUGUCAGAUUCUAGUUUUUUUUUUUUUUUUUUCAAAUGUUAUUUUUGUUUUUCGUUUAACUGUUGUUGUCAUUUUGUGGUGGGGCUUCUUCCCAUUUUUGAAUUGUUGGUAGUGCUUUGAACUCGGAUACUGUUUCAUUUUCAUUUCUCUAAUAAUGUUUCUUAUCACGUAUGAAAAUACUGUGUAUUUUCUUUUUAAUAUAAUUGUGUAUGUUUCUGAAUGGAGCUUGCACUUGUUGGUAUGAGGUGGUUUUGGUUCGGCCUCGAAAAAGGCGGGACUGGAGUUUUUUGCUUCUUUUAACAAUACAUUUUCUUUUGGCAACAUGUAUCCAAUCACCAGUGUAGUAUCUAGCAUGCAUUUGAAUUUUUGGCUGGAAAAUUUUCUUCCUGCAACUUUGCACGCUGAGUAACUGACCUCAGUCCGAGCUCUCCAGUUAGGCAGCAAUGUAGCAGUUUGUUCUCCAUGCUUGAUUAAGAAACACAUCAUUUGCAGGUUAGUUCUCAUUACACAAACUGUAUACGCAAGGCAGUAAAUUUUGUUAACUUGAUAUAUGAAACUCGAUUGCAGUUUAUCUUUCAAAAGAAUAGAGCAAGCCAAAAGACUUCCUGGUGACCCAUGGGCUGAGUUAUGUCUAUUCCUAACAGAGCGAGCCAUAUGACCUCAAGUAGCCCAAAGGCCUAAUGACUAGGCACAUCCAAGCCUACCAUUCUUGGAUAUGUACUUCUCAUAAUCCAAGCACAUAAAAAGAGCAUGCGGCCGACAUUGCCAUGCGAGAAGUCGUCGUGUGUGAAAGGUGGCCAAGCUCUAUUGUUUUACAGUGGAAUCUUCUUAAUGGCGUUGGGAGUGGGCGGGAUUCGAGGGGCACUUCCAGCUCUAGGUGCAGAUCAAUUUAACCAGUAGGAUUCCAAGGAGCUUUUUUUUUUUCUCGAUAGCAGGCACAUUUUUUAAAGAAAGCUCAGGGUCUUUGUCUUCUCUCUCCGAAAGGUUCUCUGAUGGGCAGGUGAAUUUGAAUUUCCUUGGAGUUUUAUUCUCUCUGUCAUUUUGGGGUAGGCGAUUUUGAUUUGUGCAAAAUGUGGUUAUUGAAAGUGUCUUUCAUGCAAGCAAUGGAUAAUCUAGUGGAAAUUAUUUGCAUCGAUUUGGAGGUGGUUUGGCAGCUUGGAUUUUGGCAAUUUUGGUGCUCUUGAAGGAAACAAAUAUUCGCAUGCUUCCCCUUUUGCAAGACUAAUGGAGGGUGGUUAUGCUCGGCAGCUUCUACAAGUAAAGUUGUUUUCUUGUAUUUCUUUGUACUUCACCGUUUAGCAUAUAGAUUGUGGAACCACAAUAUUUUUACUUAUCAGCAACCAUGUCUGAACAAAUGUAUUAUUAUUAUCAUAUCUAUUAUUAUUAUUAUUAUUAUUUGUUUCUCUAUUGCUUUCUCAUAAUUCAAUGCUUCAGUUUCAGCAUAUCCUAUAAUGUCAAAUGUUAAAAUGUCUCUUCAUCCAAAUUAACUCUCUUCUUUAACAAUCCUACAGCACAUUCACGUAAUUUUUAUAUGUACUUUGUAAUUGUGGGUGUUAUAUCUAUAUCCAUGGCCAUGAUAUGUUAUUAGUGUUAUAUCAAGCAACCUUGGGGGCUAUGAAGGUUCUGCUUGUUGUAGGUGUAAAUGUGGAAAAGGAUGAAUUUUGUGUUGUACAUUUGACUUAAUUACAAAUUUAAAUUCAUGUUUUCAGCUAGAAAAAGGUGUAGAUGGGCUAUGUGAUAGUUUUGCUAGAUUGGAUUCACGUGUCUCUAGCGUGGGACUGAUGAUGCAGAAAAACUGAAUUCUUCUACUUGUGGCAAGCAGAGGAUCCAGAUUCAUGUUAACCCUUAUGUCUUUUGUUGUUCUGUUUUUGAGACAGAUUGCCAGAUUUUGUUCUGAGACACUGUUUUUGUCAUCUAAAAAACAUAAUUUCUUAUCAUUGAUUUAUGUUCUCUUAUUUAGUAAUUUUCAGGUAACAAGUUUUAGAAAUUCCAAUCUUAGUUCUAUAAAAUGGUUGUACAUCUCGUUUGAAUGAUCAAUAAAGUUACAAGUGGCGUGCUUUUACUUUUCUGGGAAAAACGUAUUGUAUUUUUUGUGAGUAUGGUGUUUUUUUUUUUGUUGACUCCUGCUGAUAACAUUGUAUUUACUAUUUGCAUAGGAAAAGGGCUCAGAUGAAAUUGUCUUCAAGGUGAUGGGAAGAGUUAUAAAUAAAAUUGUUAUGAUCGUGGAGCUGAUUAAGUCAAUGCCAGGUGUCACAGAGUUCGUGAUAGCAGAACUGCUUUACUUGCAAUGGAUGGGAUCCAAACCAGCCAAUUUAUCUUUACAUCAAUUCAACUGGAACGACUCGUGAUGAUGGUGAAACGGUGCAAAAUCAGAUGUGCAAUAAAGGAGGAGAAAAGAAACGUGCCUUCCUAACAUUAGAGGAAUUGCAGCAGUUAGCAGACGACACAAAUACAUACAAAUCUAUUGGAUGCGGAGAAAAUUUUUGUGGCUAGGGAAUGCUGAAUCAUUCAAGUUCCCUUCGCUCCAAUGGCAGGAAGUUUGUAUUUCAUAUGGUGAAGCAGGGGUGGGUAUAAAAAUUUGGAAUUAAUGAAUAAGCCCUGCUAGCCAAGUGGAUUUGGAGAUUUGGGAUCGAAUCUAACAGCCUUUGGAGACAAGUGGUUGCUGCUUCUGGAUGGUGGAUGAAAGAGUCCUCUAUGUACAAAACCUUGCUAAGUUGACCCCGUGCAGUCAAGAGAAUGUUUCUCUCUUUUGGUGAUGGGAAUAGAAUUAGAUUUUGGCUGGAUCGAUGGUGCAGCGCAACUACCUUGGCUGAGGCUUUUCCUUUGUUCUCUAUUUGCUCCAACCCUUUUAUUCCUGUCAAAGAUUGUUUCUUUCAUAAUGCAGCUCCAUCCCAAUCCUAGCUCUGAUGAUUCCAUGACUUGGAAGCUGUCCAAAUCAAGAGUAUUCUCUAUCAAAUCCCUCUACAACUCUCUAUCUUCAUCAGGACCACGUCGCCUAUUCUUUU